AACGCUAGCUACAGGCUUAACACAUGCAAGUCGAGGGGCAGCAUGGUCUUAGCUUGCUAAGGCCGAUGGCGACCGGCGCACGGGUGAGUAACGCGUAUCCAACCUGCCGUCUACUCUUGGACAGCCUUCUGAAAGGAAGAUUAAUACAAGAUGGCAUCAUGAGUCCGCAUGUUCACAUGAUUAAAGGUAUUCCGGUAGACGAUGGGGAUGCGUUCCAUUAGAUAGUAGGCGGGGUAACGGCCCACCUAGUCUUCGAUGGAUAGGGGUUCUGAGAGGAAGGUCCCCCACAUUGGAACUGAGACACGGUCCAAACUCCUACGGGAGGCAGCAGUGAGGAAUAUUGGUCAAUGGGCGAGAGCCUGAACCGGCCAAGUAGCGUGAAGGAUGACUGCCCUAUGGGUUGUAAACUUCUUUUAUAAAGGAAUAAAGUCGGGUAUGGAUACCCGUUUGCAUGUACUUUAUGAAUAAGGAUCGGCUAACUCCGUGCCAGCAGCCGCGGUAAUACGGAGGAUCCGAGCGUUAUCCGGAUUUAUUGGGUUUAAAGGGAGCGUAGAUGGAUGUUUAAGUCAGUUGUGAAAGUUUGCGGCUCAACCGUAAAAUUGCAGUUGAUACUGGAUAUCUUGAGUGCAGUUGAGGCAGGCGGAAUUGCGUGGUGUAGCGGUGAAWUGCUUAGAUAUCACGAAGAACUCCGAUUG
rnacentral:rRNA from 1 species